CAGAUGUGGUCACUUAGAACCAGAGAAGCAGACAAAGAUCACUGCCGUGGAGGUUUGGUGGGAAAACAGCCAUGCUAAAUUGCUAUGCAGAGUGGUGUUUACUUUGAACACUGGUGAAGAGGCAGAUUAACUAAAAGGUUUCUGCAGUUUUAUGGCCUGGGCAGGUCACAGACAGUCUGAAACACUCCAGACUCUUGCUCAAGAGAAGACUCUCCAGAUGCUCCAGUGCAAGUGAGUGGACCGAACAGUUUUCAUAAAUCAUCUAAAGACUCGGGGCAGUGGUAAUGAAGGAGACUUUGGCUCUGGGUCUGCGGUGAGCUCUGUCUUCGGGUCCUCAGCGGGCUGAACUGGCUCUGGGUUCGGGGUGGACAUAUGGAGAUGUUGACUGUUUUUCGGUUCUGGGUGAGCAGGGCAAAUGGGCAAAGGUAAUGUCAAUGGAUACAUUCCAGGCAACGGAGAAUGGCUUUCUGCCAUGUAAAAUUCUCCAUCUCUGGCAAGUCCAAUCAGGGCAUAAUAAUGAGCUCUCUUAUCAUCGAUCUUAAGAUGCUUUUUUAUCUUAUAUUGAAAAAGGAAUACUUUUGAAUUCAUUACCAAAUGAAUAGUGUCCGAUAGGGAGGUAACUGAAAUAACAUGAAUGAUUUUGUCGUGUAACCAGCUCUAUGUAAAAUUAAAGGGGUGAUGAAGUGAGAAAUCAAAUUUUCCUUGAGCUUUUGACAUCUAAGAGGUCAUCAUAUUAUAUCCUGUAAGUUUCAGAACUGAAACGGCCAGAACGGCCUUGUUGUUGUAGCACUGGGCUAAUCUUGGCCAUGCCGCAACUCUAUCCCUCUUCUCCUCUUUAAUUUCCUGCUGAGCUGCUGUUUCAGUGAAAGAUUAUGCAAAAAUCCUAAAUCCAGACGUAAGGUUUAUUUUCUCACCUUUAUAAGAUUUUCUAUAGAAUAAUCUGAAAGACACAACCCUUACGAAAAAGAAGUUUAUUC